rnacentral:rRNA from 1 species
UACGGAGGAUGCGAGCGUUAUCCGGAUUUAUUGGGUUUAAAGGGUGCGCAGGCGGCGUGUCAAGUCAGCGGUAAAAUGUCGGGGCUCAACCCCGGCCGGCCGUUGAAACUGGCGUGCUCGAGUUGGAGAGAAGUAUGCGGAAUUCGUGGUGUAGCGGUGAAAUGCAUAGAUAUCACGAAGAACCCCGAUUGCGAUGGCAGCAUACCGGCUCCACACUGACGCUGAGGCACGAAAGCGUGGGUAUCGAACAGG